UACGUAGGGUGCGAGCGUUGUCCGGAAUUAUUGGGCGUAAAGAGCUCGUAGGCGGUUUGUCACGUCUGCUGUGAAAUCCCGAGGCUCAACCUCGGGCCUGCAGUGGGUACGGGCAGACUGGAGUGCGGUAGGGGAGACUGGAAUUCCUGGUGUAGCGGUGAAAUGCGCAGAUAUCAGGAGGAACACCGGUGGCGAAGGCGGGUCUCUGGGCCGAUACUGACGCUGAGGAGCGAAAGCGUGGGGAGCGAACAGG
rnacentral:rRNA from 1 species